UACGGAGGGGGCUAGCGUUGUUCGGAAUUACUGGGCGUAAAGCGCGCGUAGGCGGCUUUGUAAGUUAGAGGUGAAAGCCCGGAGCUCAACUCCGGAAUUGCCUUUAAGACUGCAUCGCUUGAAUCAUGGAGAGGUCAGUGGAAUUCCGAGUGUAGAGGUGAAAUUCGUAGAUAUUCGGAAGAACACCAGUGGCGAAGGCGGCUGACUGGACAUGUAUUGACGCUGAGGUGCGAAAGCGUGGGGAGCAAACAGG
rnacentral:rRNA from 1 species